AGACGACGAGAAAAAAUAUUUCAGUUCGAGCGGUUCAGCUACACGAACCCGAUGACCUUCCACCAUCAAACGUUGGAGCGCCGCAGGUCACGCGACUCCGACGCGGGAGUCGCCAGCCUGCCAAUAUCUUCCUUGUGAUUUAUUGUUAAGUUUUUUCCAGUUAUAAUUUCUUGAUUGCGACUGUAAUAUUGAAAUACUAGAUAUUCAGGGAUGUAAGCUAGUCAUAAAUUAAAUUCCUCCUAAAAUAAAAGCCUCUUCAAUUGGUUACAAUAACCGGUAUUACAAUUAAUAAUAAGGAACUGUUUAAAUCAUGCCUCGCUGUUUAAAUCUAUGCUUUUAUUGCAUACCUUAACGGACUCUAAUGUUUCAAGUGUUUAAAAUUCAUUAAAAAAAUUCUUAGUUGUGCGAAUGGGCCAGAAAAUUUACAUGGAAAUCCAUGUUAGAUCGAAUCACCUUUGUAACGGUCGGGAAUAAAAUGGUUACUGAUACUUUAGUAGGAAAUAUACUUGGAUAAUAAAAUUGAAAUUGGU